CCUUUUGAACUAAUGAAAAGUAUAUUCUUAUGAAAACAAAUGUUGUAUUUCUGCCCCCAAAUUACUGAAACAGCAUUAAAAGAUUUGAAGAUAGCAUAGCUCUGUAUAGAGUAAGUUCAGUCCAAAAGGAUGGUCAAGAAGCCGAUGAGAGAACACAGGAAUUCUCCAGGAUGUGUCUAAUGAGGAAAUUGAAACGCUCAAGUCCCUCUGACAAAUACGCUUAAAUGAAGUUAUUCAAGAUUACUCAAGAGAUGCUGCACUGAUUAUUGUAAUGAUGCCCAUGGGGGAAGAGGGGUGUGUCCUAUUAUUGUCCUUUACAUGGCUUGGCUAGAGAUUGUGUCACGUGACCUUCGACCUCCAGUUCUUCUUGUCCGAGGCAAUCAGGAGAAUGUGCUGACGAUGUACUGCCAGUGAACACCACAUUUUCCUGACAAAACUGUUCACACACGUACAUCAGAUGAAAAGAAACUCAACUUAUUAAUGACGUUAAAAUCAUGACAAAUUUACAUACUUUCAAAUUGUGUUUCAUACUUGUUUUAAUGUAAAUAAGGUGUUUGUCUUAAUUUUUUUUUUACCUUUUUUUUUCAGUAUAUACUCAAAAAUAUGAGUUUUUACUAAUUUAGAUCUUAUGUACUUUCUCCUGAAGUAAUAAUUACUGUAAUAAUGACUGUAUUUAAACAACUUCAUCUUAA